AUUCCAGCAUAUUAUAUCUGUUUAUUUGUGCAGGCUGGACGAGAUCUUAAAUUUGUUAGCUUAUCAAUGAGUGGAUGUUUCUCAUUGGGUGCUCUUGCACUGUUGUUUGUAAGUACCAAAGGGUAUGGUUUGCCUGGCUGCUGGUUUGUACUUGUAGGAUUCCAAUGGGCUCGGUUUUUGCUCGCUCUCCAACGCCUUCUUUCUCCCACCGGCAUACUUUUCUCUGAAAAUUUAAGCCAGCAUAAUCUGGAGAAGCUGAAAGCUGCUUAGUCUUAGAAUAUGCUUGCGCUUAUAUACAACAGAUAUGAAGCAUACUCAGACUCAGUCAUAUAUUUUUCUAUUCGCCAAAGAUCUCAUCACAUAAGUCUUUGUUGCCUCAAAUGAAACCAAGAGGAGAAUCAAUGCACUACUUGAAGCAGUUAGAUGUUAUCCUUAAUAGCAAAUCAUAGUUGCAGAACCACUGGUGAUUGUAUUUCAACCUUCUUACCCCUCUGCUAUAACAGAAAGAAAAACAGCUUCUACUAAU